GACGAACGCUGGCGGCGUGCUUAACACAUGCAAGUCGAACGCUGAAGCUUGGUGCUUGCACUGGGUGGCUGAGUGGCGAACGGGUGAGUAAUACGUGAGUAACCUGCCCUUGACUCUGGGAUAAGCCUGGGAAACUGGGUCUAAUACUGGAUAUGACAUGCCACUGCAUGGUGGUGUGUGGAAAGGGUUUUACUGGUUUUGGAUGGGCUCACGGCCUAUCAGCUUGUUGGUGGGGUAAUGGCCUACCAAGGCGACGACGGGUAGCCGGCCUGAGAGGGUGACCGGCCACACUGGGACUGAGACACGGCCCAGCCUCCUACGGGAGGCAGCAGUGGGGAGUAUUGCACAAUGGGCGGAAGCCUGAUGCAGCGACGCCGCGUGAGGGAUGACGGCCUUCGGGUUGUAAACCUCUUUCAGCACGGAAGAAGCGAGAGUGACGGUACGUGCAGAAGAAGCGCCGGCUAACUACGUG
rnacentral:rRNA from 1 species